CAAGUUACUUACACAAUUCAUUUCAAAAGGCCAUUUCAUUACCAAAAACUUCCAUUUCAGGACAAAAAGAUCCAAAUUACAAGUUUACACGCGAAAUUACACAUUUUUACCUAAAGUUGACUUUUGGUCAACCAUUUACUUUUUGGUCAACCAAUUGAUCAUAGUCAACUACCUAAACCUAAAAACUAUUCUAAGGCAUCCCUCAAAAACCUUCAAGCUUUUUAUGACCAUUGGUGUGUUUCAAAGAAAAAAAAUGUUUAUGUGCCAUAACAUGUUCCUUGACCCAUGUCUUAAUUCCAUGCCUUGACCAAAAUCUUCAUGAGCAUAUCCUCAUUUCAAGCCCAUACCAUCCCUGCAAAAUCACACCAAACAUACAUACAUAAUCAAUAACAUAAGUACCAUACAUAUGCAUUUCAUCAUAAUCCAGGACAAUGAUAUUAAGUACAUUUACAUGACUUACACAACAUGCCAUUAAAUAAGUCAUGGCUACUCAAUGUAUACACACACAUUUAAACCUAACAAAACCAGUUCAAACUAACCAACAUGAUCUAAUUAGUAUAGGUAUGCUUCUAACCUCCCUAAAAUUCAAACACAUUAUGGCUAAGUUAUUGACACAAUAACAAUAACAAUUCACUUAGCACAAUUCAUUAACAAGUUAAUAUAACCCUAAUCACUAACAUCCAAUCCAAGCUAAUUUAACAUAUAGUUUUAAUUGGUUUUUGAUUCAAUUCAAACAACAUUAAAAGCUCAAUAUUAUUCAUAUUUGAAGCUAACAUUUCAUGCAUUUUCACUAACAUGUUAGCUUCAUGACAUAUUAAUCCCAUUAACACAAAUCAAUGCCACUAGUUUGUGAUAUUCAUAACAGUUGGACUUCAAUACAGCAACACAAACAAUUAACCUGCAUAGUUCUCAUAAUUGGUUUUCCAUCUAACUUUUUGACCUCAUAGCAAUCAACCAAAGCUCCUGACACCAUCUGAUUGUUGUUAAAACUUCAAACUUCAAUUCAACAUAACUCUAUUCUAACUCACUAACAUUUUUGUUCUAACUUUGUUCACNN
rnacentral:lncRNA from 1 species